UGAGAAUCAGCAGAUCACAUAUCUCCCAGUCACCCAUUUGGAAUUUAUUUUCCCUAGGCUUAAAGCCUAGCAAGAAUGUUUCUGUGAUCUCCUGCAGCAGAAGAACCCCCAAGAAAAUUCACAAUGAAGCAUUAUCAGAAGCUCCUGAGGCCCUCAAUAAGCUCUUUAAAACAUUUGAAAACAUGGAGUCCAACACCAAAAGAAUUUCAUUAGUAGAGAGGAAUGUUCUUGGACAUUAUCUGCUUAAAAGCAAAUUUAUGAUGAAAAAGGAAACAAACCAAGCAAAUCAUCGUGAACAUAUUUCUGAGAAGAUUGACACCUCCUCAAGAGCCUCAGGAAGAUGAUGUUCCAUACCUCUUCCAUAAUAACCUAGAAGGACAACUUCAUCAUCUCCACAGACCAUCAUCCUCGGACAUCGAUUCUUAGUGAACUCUGAGAAAACCGGAGAUCAGGGAAUAGCAAGUUCAAGUUACCCAGUGAUGAUGAUUAUUUCACUGGCAAGGAUAUCCACUAUGAUCUUGAGUGGGAAAGGGUGACCUGACGGGUACCAGAGACCUUUCUACACCGACCUGAGACAGUACGUGAGAAACUGGCUGUAAUUAUCUUCAAUCAAUUUUCUCAUUUGACAAAUCUCACUGUAUACAUUCAGCCUCCCAUUGCUGCUGUUGUCCAUGCUCCUUGUAGAAACGCCCACCUCAACCUAUUCAGGUUCCACCCUCCUCCUGUCUGCAUGACAAUUCCUGUGUAGCUACCUGAUACCUGAAAGUCUUUCAGGACGAGCUUUUGGUCUGGUCAAGCCAACUAUUUCAAGAAACCGGAGCUGAAUCAUGGACUACCAGUACAUGGUCUUCUAAUGCCAGGUUAUCUUAUCUAUGAAUCCAUAAAUCUAGGUACAUGUAGUAGCAGGAUUCUAUUGUUACUUGGAAGAUGUCUAUGGAAGGUCAGGUUCUAGAAAAUUUUGAAUUGCACAACAAUUUACAUGAGUAUGUGACUUAUGCUCCCAGUGCACCUACUUUUGCUGCAGUGACACGUCUUCCUGAACACACACCCAGGAGCCCAGGAGAAAUUCAUUAUAAUCUGUUGCCUGAGGAAGAAACAAUUUACUUUGAUUUAUGUGUUCUGAAAAUGUGCUGGUACCAGCUGGGAUUAGACUACUGGAGCAUUAAAACCUUCCUCAAUGGUAUUUUUGAAAGACAGUAAAGAAUGGAAUUUCUUUUAUUAGGCUGAACUUCAAGCUUUAUAUCUUUGCUGUACACUUUGUGGGGGGAAUUGUCUAAAAGUACCAAUCUACAAUGAUUCAUGGACAGUUACUAUUUUGUAAACAGUCCUGAAUUUGCAAUAAUCAAGAAUGAAGAGUUGGUUAUGAGGAAGUUUGUGUUAUGUGGGUGGAACACUUAAAUUAGUUUUAGAGUAAGACUGUUUCCUUCCAAUCUGAAAGUUCAUUAAUUCUUAUAAUAAUCAGAUGGGCAAAGAAGAACUAUUCUGUGCACUGUUUCAGCAGUUUUAAGUACUUGCUAUAAACUAGACACUGUUCUAUAUUCAAGAAUACAAACAUUAAAUAAAACAGACAAAAAUGCCUAUUUUUAUGUAACCUUCCUGUAGUUAUGGAGAUAAGGGACAUCAUCAAUAUGAAAAUAUACAUCAGAUAAUAUUUAGUAUUAAGGAAAUAAGCACAUGUUAGAAGUGGUAUAAUGUUAUACAAGAUGCCUAACAUAGCUGAGCAGAGACCAUAAAGAGAUGAGAGAGUAAAUUAUACUCCUGUAUGAGGAAAAAGCAUUCCAGCAAAAGGAAGAGUAAGCACAAAGUCUCUGAGGGAGAGUAAUUUCUUUUAUUCCAGAAACAUUGAAAAGGCCGGUGUGACUUGUAAGACAAGAGGAAUUUAGUAGGACAUAAAAUGAAAGAGCAAAAACAGUUAGCUAGAUCACUUAUAUUUUGAAGUUUGUUGAAAGAUAUUUGUCUUUUUCUCUCAGAGAUGUGGGAAACUGAAUAGAGGUUUAUGAGCAAAGAAGCAGCCUGAUACCAUAUAAGUUAAUUUUAAUAGGAUCACUCUGGCUAAUAUGUUGAGGGAAGGGUAGAAUGAGAGAGAGAAAUUCGCAAUAAUCCAGGUAAGAGAUGAUGAUAUCUUGGAUCUUGGACUUGAGAAGAAGUGGCCAGUUUUGAGAUAUAAUUUGAAGGUAGAAUCAAGAGAUCUUAUUGAGAAAUCUUUCAUCUUCUCUCCCUGUCCCCAACACAGAGAUUGCUCAAUGGGAUUACAAAUAUUCUUGCUAUAUGACCCAGAUAGUGGUUAUCCAUGAACUCAACAAUACAGACUUCCUUUCAAAUAAGCAAAAUUGGCCACAUUUACUGUCAGAUAUACAAUCUGCUAACAAGUAUGUGAAUGCUAUGAUAUGGCACUACUCUGCAGAUGAAUCAGUCUGUUACUUAUAUUAGAUUCUUCAUUAAGAAGGAUGUAACGUUAUAUCCAUACUAUAUUAGACAUUUAGUCUGGUUGCGUACUUGUCUUCCCUGCGCACUAUAAUUCACCACCUUCAUCUGGGAACUUACUGAAUACCUCACUGAUAGUCACAGUAUAACAAAUCAAAUUGCUUUUGAGCAUUAUUUGAGAUUAUUUUAUAUCGAACUAUGAGUGAGUGGAAGAUGACUAUGAGUCUCAUCAACCAAAAGUAGCCAUUCUUAAAAUAAUUUGUACUGGUCUACUGAAAACUUAGUUCUCAUGUUUGUAUCCUUUAGUGUUUGAUAUGCUUCUUGAGAUCAAGUUUAUUUCUUCUUGAACGUUACAGCUCUGGUCCUUGCUUCUUGAUUGACACAUAAGUCUGCAGAGUGUAGAAGACAAUCAAUAAUGUUUAAUAAAUGAAUGAAUUUCAAUGACUUACAAAUAUUACAGUGACCUAAUUUUCCAUUUAAAAAUAAUGCUUAUCCAAGCAUAUAUGCAUUCUCCACUUGCCUAUUGUAUUCGUGUGCUACAUAACCAGUUUCUGUCAAUGGUGGAUCACGACUGAUGAUGGUCCCAUGAGAUUAAUAGCAUAUAGCCUAGGUGUGUAGUAGGCUAUCCCACCUGGGGUUGUGUAAGUAUACUCUAUGAUGUUCACACAACAACGAAAUCGCCUAAAGACACAUUGUUCAGAACGUACCCCUGUGGUUAAGCGAUGCAUGACUGUAUUUUAAAAAUUGAUUUGUCCUACAAUUGUAGUAAUAGGGACCUUCUUAGAGAUCUACACAGAAAAAGUAACAAGGCUAAGUUAUCUUCCUUUCCAUAGGUAAUGAUUCUCGUCUACUUAUUAGAUAUGAGAUUUGUUGAGGAUGGGGCACUGCUAAACAAAAAUAAUUUGGGGAAUAUGAAAAAGUAUUUCAACACAGUAGUAUAGACAAAAUAACAAAAAU
ensembl:lncRNA